GGUUAAGCGACUAAGCGUACACGGUGGAUGCCCUGGCAGUCAGAGGCGAUGAAGGGCGUGCUAAUCUGCGAUAAGCGCCGGUAAGGUGAUAUGAACCGUUAUAACCGGCGAUACCCGAAUGGGGAAACCCAGUGUGAUUCGUCACACUAUCAUUAACUGAAUCCAUAGGUUAAUGAGGCGAACCGGGGGAACUGAAACAUCUAAGUACCCCGAGGAAAAGAAAUCAACCGAGAUUCCCCCAGUAGCGGCGAGCGAACGGGGAGGAGCCCAGAGCCUGAAUCAGCAUGUGUGUUAGUGGAAGCGUCUGGAAAGGCGCGCGAUACAGGGUGACAGCCCCGUACACAAAAGCGCAUGUGCUGUGAGCUCGAUGAGUAGGGCGGGACACGUGGUAUCCUGUCUGAAUAUGGGGGGACCAUCCUCCAAGGCUAAAUACUCCUGACUGACCGAUAGUGAACCAGUACCGUGAGGGAAAGGCGAAAAGAACCCCGGCGAGGGGAGUGAAAAAGAACCUGAAACCGUGUACGUACAAGCAGUGGGAGCACCCUUCGGGGUGUGACUGCGUACCUUUUGUAUAAUGGGUCAGCGACUUAUAUUCUGUAGCAAGGUUAACCGUAUAGGGGAGCCGGAGGGAAACCGAGUCUUAAUUGGGCGUUAAGUUGCAGGGUAUAGACCCGAAACCCGGUGAUCUAGCCAUGGGCAGGUUGAAGGUUGGGUAACACUAACUGGAGGACCGAACCGACUAAUGUUGAAAAAUUAGCGGAUGACCUGUGGCUGGGGGUGAAAGGCCAAUCAAACCGGGAGAUAGCUGGUUCUCCCCGAAAGCUAUUUAGGUAGCGCCUCGUGAAUUCAUCUCCGGGGGUAGAGCACUGUUUCGGCUAGGGGGCCAUCCCGGCUUACCAACCCGAUGCAAACUGCGAAUACCGGAGAAUGUUAUCACGGGAGACACACGGCGGGUGCUAACGUCCGUCGUGAAGAGGGAAACAACCCAGACCGCCAGCUAAGGUCCCAAAGUCAUGGUUAAGUGGGAAACGAUGUGGGAAGGCCCAGACAGCCAGGAUGUUGGCUUAGAAGCAGCCAUCAUUUAAAGAAAGCGUAAUAGCUCACUGGUCGAGUCGGCCUGCGCGGAAGAUGUAACGGGGCUAAACCAUGCACCGAAGCUGCGGCAGCGAACGUAUCACCCAAGACAACUUUACGGAGUUGACGAUUGACGGAGCGAAGCGACGUCAAAGCGUUCAUUAAAGUCGAGUUGGCUUAGGGAUACGUUCGUUGGGUAGGGGAGCGUUCUGUAAGCCUGUGAAGGUGUGUCGUGAGGCAUGCUGGAGGUAUCAGAAGUGCGAAUGCUGACAUAAGUAACGAUAAAGCGGGUGAAAAGCCCGCUCGCCGGAAGACCAAGGGUUCCUGUCCAACGUUAAUCGGGGCAGGGUGAGUCGACCCCUAAGGCGAGGCCGAAAGGCGUAGUCGAUGGGAAACGGGUUAAUAUUCCCGUACUUGGUGUUACUGCGAAGGGGGGACGGAGAAGGCUAUGUUGGCCGGGCGACGGUUGUCCCGGUUUAAGCGUGUAGGUGUGUGUUCCAGGUAAAUCCGGUUCACUUUAACACUGAGGCGUGACGACGAGGCACUACGGUGCUGAAGCAACAAAUGCCCUGCUUCCAGGAAAAGCCUCUAAGCAUCAGGUAACACGAAAUCGUACCCCAAACCGACACAGGUGGUCAGGUAGAGAAUACCAAGGCGCUUGAGAGAACUCGGGUGAAGGAACUAGGCAAAAUGGUGCCGUAACUUCGGGAGAAGGCACGCUGACACGUAGGUGAAGUGAUUUACUCACGGAGCUGAAGUCAGUCGAAGAUACCAGCUGGCUGCAACUGUUUAUUAAAAACACAGCACUGUGCAAACACGAAAGUGGACGUAUACGGUGUGACGCCUGCCCGGUGCCGGAAGGUUAAUUGAUGGGGUCAGCGCAAGCGAAGCUCCUGAUCGAAGCCCCGGUAAACGGCGGCCGUAACUAUAACGGUCCUAAGGUAGCGAAAUUCCUUGUCGGGUAAGUUCCGACCUGCACGAAUGGCGUAAUGAUGGCCAGGCUGUCUCCACCCGAGACUCAGUGAAAUUGAACUCGCUGUGAAGAUGCAGUGUACCCGCGGCAAGACGGAAAGACCCCGUGAACCUUUACUAUAGCUUGACACUGAACAUUGAGCCUUGAUGUGUAGGAUAGGUGGGAGGCUUUGAAGUGUGGACGCCAGUCUGCAUGGAGCCGACCUUGAAAUACCACCCUUUAAUGUUUGAUGUUCUAACGUGGACCCGUAAUCCGGGUUGCGGACAGUGUCUGGUGGGUAGUUUGACUGGGGCGGUCUCCUCCUAAAGAGUAACGGAGGAGCACGAAGGUUGGCUAAUCCUGGUCGGACAUCAGGAGGUUAGUGCAAUGGCAUAAGCCAGCUUGACUGCGAGCGUGACGGCGCGAGCAGGUGCGAAAGCAGGUCAUAGUGAUCCGGUGGUUCUGAAUGGAAGGGCCAUCGCUCAACGGAUAAAAGGUACUCCGGGGAUAACAGGCUGAUACCGCCCAAGAGUUCAUAUCGACGGCGGUGUUUGGCACCUCGAUGUCGGCUCAUCACAUCCUGGGGCUGAAGUAGGUCCCAAGGGUAUGGCUGUUCGCCAUUUAAAGUGGUACGCGAGCUGGGUUUAGAACGUCGUGAGACAGUUCGGUCCCUAUCUGCCGUGGGCGCUGGAGAACUGAGGGGGGCUGCUCCUAGUACGAGAGGACCGGAGUGGACGCAUCACUGGUGUUCGGGUUGUCAUGCCAAUGGCACUGCCCGGUAGCUAAAUGCGGAAGAGAUAAGUGCUGAAAGCAUCUAAGCACGAAACUUGCCCCGAGAUGAGUUCUCCCUGAGACUUUAGGUCUCCUGAAGGAACGUUGAAGACGACGACGUUGAUAGGCCGGGUGUGUAAGCGCAGCGAUGCGUUGAGCUAACCGGUACUAAUGAACCGUGAGGCUUAACCUU
rnacentral:rRNA from 1 species